UUUUUUUUCGGUUUUCAUGCCACUCUUUCACACUCCUCUCACAAGAAAAGGGCAGCCCGUUUAGAGAAAUACUCUUCUUUUUUUCUGCUGCUCCAAUCUUUGAACAGGACAGCCUCUCCAUUCCCAUCUCUUUUCCCCCCUCUUCUUUCCGCCAAUUCCCCUCUGUCGCUCAAGCUCACUGUUGCUGCCCUUUUCCUGA
rnacentral:lncRNA from 1 species